CCUACGGGAGGCAGCAGUGAGGAAUAUUGGUCAAUGUUCGGGAGACUGAACCAGCCAAGCCGCGUGAGGGAUGAAGGUACAGAGUAUCGUAAACCUCUUUUGUCAGGGAACAAAGGCGGGGACGUGUCCCCGGAUGAGUGUACCUGAAGAAAAAGCAUCGGCAAACUCCGUGCCAGCAGCCGCGGUAAUACGGAGGAUGCGAGCGUUAUCCGGAUUUAUUGGGUUAAAGGGGUGCGAAGGCGGUCUGUUAAGUCAGCGGUCAAACCCCGGGGCUCAACCCCGGCCCGCCGUUGAAACUGGCAGUCUCGAGUUGGAGAGAAGUAUGCGGAAUGCGCGGUGUAGCGGUGAAAUGCAUAGAUAUCGCGCAGAACUCCGAUUGCGAAGGCAGCAUGCCGGCUCCACACUGACGCUGAGGCACGAAAGCGUGGGUAUCGAACAGGAUUAGAUACCCUUGUAGUC
rnacentral:rRNA from 1 species